rnacentral:misc_RNA from 1 species
GAGCACCCUCUGUCAAAUAGGAGUGUAGAUUAAAGGAACUUGAGCUCAAAUGCUCAAGCCAAUUGAAUUCAGUUAUGAGACACAACUGCUUACGGACAUCAUCAGACACAACUUGAGCUCAAACAUUUCCAUGAUAAGCAAGCAAUUACAAUGGAAUGACAUCAAAUAUACAUCUCAAACUCAAAGCGAAAGAAAUCAACAGUACCUGAUCCCAAUCGCUGUUCCCUUCCCAGCUGUUGGU